AGCGAACGCUGGCGGCAAGCUUAACACAUGCAAGUCGAGCGCUGUAGCAAUACAGAGCGGCGGACGGGUGCGUAACACGGGGGAAUCUGCCUUUAGGUUUGGAAUAACUCAGGGAAACUUGAGCUAAUACCGUAUAAUGUCUUCGGACCAAAGAUUUAUCGCCUAAAGAUGAGCCCGCGGUAGAUUAGCUAGUUGGUGAGGUAAUGGCUCACCAAGGCUACGAUCUAUAGCUGGUCUAAGAGGAUGUUCAGCCACACUGGGACUGAGACACGGCCCAGACUCCUACGGGAGGCAGCAGUGGGGAAUAUUGGGCAAUGGGCGAAAGCCUGACCCAGCUAUGCCGCGUGAAUGAUGAAGGCCUUAGGGUUGUAAAGUUCUUUUACCAGGGACGAUGAUGACGGUACCUGGAGAAAAAGCCCCGGCAAACUUCGUGCCAGCCGCCGCAGUAA
rnacentral:rRNA from 1 species